rnacentral:rRNA from 1 species
AUUGAACGCUGGCGGCAGGCCUAACACAUGCAAGUCGAGCGGAUGAGGGGUGCUUGCACCCUGAUUCAGCGGCGGACGGGUGAGUAAUGCCUAGGAAUCUGCCCGAUAGUGGGGGACAACGUUUCGAAAGGAACGCUAAUACCGCAUACGUCCUACGGGAGAAAGUGGGGGCUCUUCGGACCUCACGCUAUCGGAUGAGCCUAGGUCGGAUUAGCUAGUUGGUGGGGUAAAGGCCCACCAAGGCGACGAUCCGUAACUGGUCUGAGAGGAUGAUCAGUCACACUGGAACUGAGAGCCGGUCCAGACUCCUACGGGAGGCAGCAGUGGGGAAUAUUGGACAAUGGGCGAAAGCCUGAUCCAGCCAUGCCGCGUGUGUGAAGAAGGUCUUCGGAUUGUAAAGCACUUUAAGUCGGGAGGAAGGGCUGCAGGUUAAUACCUUGCAGCCUUGACGUUACCGACAGAAUAAGCACCGGCUAACUUCGUGCCAGCCGCCGCCGUAAUAC